rnacentral:rRNA from 1 species
AUUGAACGCUGGCGGCAGGCCUAACACAUGCAAGUCGAGCGGAUGAAGGGAGCUUGCUCCUGGAUUCAGCGGCGGACGGGUGAGUAAUGCAUAGGAAUCUGCCUGGCAGUGGGGGAUAACGUCCGGAAACGGGCGCUAAUACCGCAUACGUCCUGAGGUAGAAAGUGGGGGUUCUUCGGACAUCACGCUAUCUGAUGAGCCUAGGUCGGAUUAGCUAGUUGGUGGGGUAAAGGCCUACCAAGGCGACGAUCCGUAACUGGUCUGAGAGGAUGAUCAGCCACACUGGAACUGAGACACGGUCCAGACUCCUACGGGAGGCAGCAGUAGGGAAUAUUGGACAAUGGGCGAAAGCCUGAUCCAGCCAUGCCGCGUGUGUGAAGAAGGUCUUCGGAUUGUAAAGCACUUUAAGUUGGGAGGAAGGGCAGUAAGUUAAUACCUUGCUGUUUUGACGUUACCAAAAGAGUAAGCACCGGCUAACUUCGUG